rnacentral:lncRNA from 1 species
AAGUAGCUUCGAAUUUUCAAGUCGCUAUCCCAAUUUGGAAAGCACUCAAUCAUCGCCGUACUAACUCAAAGUCAAAUUUGUGUAGUACGGAAAAUGACUAUUCACUAGGCCCCUCUGAAAUUCUUUCAGCUCUGAACCAUCGCCCCGGAAGCAGACGCACAGCCUUCAACUCGAAUCAACCAAAGUCUGUGUAAAGGUGCACUUUCACAGCAGAGGAGGAUAUGCGUUUAAAGGUAUGUGGCUUCCCGCUGGCAGAGCUUUGAUGCUAGCAAGCACAUAAUAGCUUAACAUCUACGACAGUAGGCUAGCCCCUUGCCGUACACACGACAAUGUACGACACACAGAGAUAAGCCCCGUGCCGUACACCUUGUUGUACGACAAGGGGGUAGCCCCUUGCCGGUAUAAGCUACACAUGUGCUGUUCUUAGCAUUUCCACUCGGUUCAUAAGCAUACACAUCGCGUACAGGUACAAGCUCUCUCAACGCACAUUGCACAAAAAGUCACAAGUACUUCAUGGCAAUUGUACACACAUCUUAUACAGAGUGUGCACAUGCUUUGAUUGAACUAACACUACAAAUGAGUGUUCGUGCAGGCCAUCCUAGCCAGGAAACUCCUGCAACUCAGCAAGUCGCUCCCGUCAAGGAAAACCUACAGUCUCUGUUACUCACCAACUUACUACGCCUGCAAAAGCUAGACUUUUCGUUGGGAAAGGAAACAGAUGCAACAUUCUAAGACGUAUCGAAAAUACGACACACUUAGUUUGUGGCCAAAAAUCGCAGUACACGACACGUACGACAGUACGACUCGAACAACUGCACAAAUAAUGCAAGCGAAUGCAUCACGUCGUACAUUACUAAUUUGCGUACAAUAGUACUGCACGAAUGGUAUGGACAAUAUAAAUCGGAAACAAGAAACAGACUGUGUCUUCAGACUGCCUUGUCCAUAUGGAAUGAGAAAGUAUGCUAACUCAUUGCGGUGUAAUCACAAUAUUAACACACCAACGGACUCUCACACAUUUUGGUCGCAAAGGGCAAUUUGCACAAGUCCUAUUCGCACGACCGUCCUAUGCGCUUCCUAUGCGCAUCCUAUUACUGCCAAACACAUUAUUAGCAUCAUGAUCACCCAAGCUGGUACAUAACACAAAGUUUAGGGACCCUAAGAUGGGAGAUUCCAGAAGUUGAGACUUGACAGGCCUGAAGCCAGGAUUCAAAUUUCAUGGUCACUGGUUGAGAGCUGCAGUUAAAAAUGCAACCUUACAGCACCACACGGGGAUCCUCANNNNNNNNNNNNNNNNNNNNNNNNNNNNNNNNNNNNNNNNNNNNNNNNNNNNNNNNNNNNNNNNNNNNNNNNNNNNNNNNNNNNNNNNNNNNNNNNNGAAUGCGAGGGAGUAGCUUCGAAUUUUCAGUCGCUAUCCCAAUUUGGAAAGCACUCAAUCAUCGCCGUACUAACUCAAAGUCAAAUUUGUGUAGUACGGAAAAUGACUAUUCACUAGGCCCCUCUGAAAUUCUUUCAGCUCUGAACCAUCGCCCCGGAAGCAGACGCACAGCCUUCAACUCGAAUCAACCAAAGUCUGUGUAAAGGUGCACUUUCACAGCAGAGGAGGAUAUGCGUUUAAAGGUAUGUGGCUUCCCGCUGGCAGAGCUUUGAUGCUAGCAAGCACAUAAUAGCUUAACAUCUACGACAGUAGGCUAGCCCCUUGCCGUACACACGACAAUGUACGACACACAGAGAUAAGCCCCGUGCCGUACACCUUGUUGUACGACAAGGGGGUAGCCCCUUGCCGGUAUAAGCUACACAUGUGCUGUUCUUAGCAUUUCCACUCGGUUCAUAAGCAUACACAUCGUGUACAGGUACAAGCUCUCUCAACGCACAUUGCACAAAAAGUCACAAGUACUUCAUGGCAAUUGUACACACAUCUUAUACAGAGUGUGCACAUGCUUUGAUUGAACUAACACUACAAAUGAGUGUUCGUGCAGGCCAUCCUAGCCAGGAAACGCCUGCAAUUCAGCAAGUCGCUCCCGUCAAGGAAAACCUACAGUCUCUGUUACUCACCAACUUACUACGCCUGCAAAAGCUAGACUUUUCGUUGGGAAAGGAAACAGAUGCAACAUUCUAAGACGUAUCGAAAAUACGACACACUUAGUUUGUGGCCAAAAAUCGCAGUACACGACACGUACGACAGUACGACUCGAACAACUGCACAAAUAAUGCAAGCGAAUGCAUCACGUCGUACAUUACUAAUUUGCGUACAAUAGUACUGCACGAAUGGUAUGGACAAUAUAAAUCGGAAACAAGAAACAGACUGUGUCUUCAGACUGCCUUGUCCAUAUGGAAUGAGAAAGUAUGCUAACUCAUUGCGGUGUAAUCACAAUAUUAACACACCAACGGACUCUCACACAUUUUGGUCGCAAAGGGCAAUUUGCACAAGUCCUAUUCGCACGACCGUCCUAUGCGCUUCCUAUGCGCAUCCUAUUACUGCCAAACACAUUAUUAGCAUCAUGAUCACCCAAGCUGGUACAUAACACAAAGUUUAGGGACCCUAAGAUGGGAGAUUCCAGAAGUUGAGACUUGACAGGCCUGAAGCCAGGAUUCAAAUUUCAUGGUCACUGGUUGAGAGCUGCAGUUAAAAAUGCAACCUUACAGCACCACACACAAAGACCAAAAGCUUAAAAUGUAUGUGUGUAAGUACAUGCAAGCUUGAGGCACUGCAAGCAUGAUGCAUUAAAAAAAAUAGAAAUCGAGCUUACAAACAUGGGGCAUCGUUUCUGGGUGUUGUUGCAUGCCUGUGCAGUGACAUGCAUUCUUCAGGCACCAAGCACAUGCAGCAAAGGGCAAUAACAGCGCCUGCAAGAUUGGGGCAACGUUUCUGGGUGUUGUUGCAUGCCUGUGCAAUGAAAUGCAUUCCCCAGGCACCAAGCACAUGCAGCAAAGGGCAAUAACAGCGCCUGCAAGAUUGGGGCAUCGUUUCUGGGUGUUGUUGCAUGCCUGUGCAAUCAAAUGCAUUCCCCAGGCACCAAGCACAUGCAGCAAAAGGCAAUAACAGCGCCUGCAAGAUUGGGGCAACGUUUCUGGGUGUUGUUGCAUGCCUGUGCAGUGACAUGCAUUCCCCAGGCACCAAGCACAUGCAGCAAAAGGCAAUAACAGCGCCUGCAAGAUUGGGGCAACGUUUCUGGGUGUUGUUGCAUGCCUGUGCAGUGACAUGCAUUCCCCAGGCACCAAGCACAUGCAGCAAAAGGCAAUAACAGCGCCUGCAAGAUUGGGGCAACGUUUCUGGGUGUUGUUGCAUGCCUGUGCAGUGACAUGCAUUCCCCAGGCACCAAGCACAUGCAGCAAAAGGCAAUAACAGCGCCUGCAAGAUUGGGGCAACGUUUCUGGGUGUUGUUGCAUGCCUGUGCAAUGAAAUGCAUUCCCCAGGCACCAAGCACAUGCAGCAAAAGGCAAUAACAGCGCCUGCAAGAUUGGGGCAACGUUUCUGGGUGUUGUUGCAUGCCUGUGCAAUGAAAUGCAUUCCCCAGGCACCAAGCACAUGCAGCAAAGGGCAAUAACAGCGCCUGCAAGAUUGGGGCAUCGUUUCUGGGUGUUGUUGCAUGCCUGUGCAGUGACAUGCAUUCUCCCUAGCAAACACUACAACUCAACAUCCCUACGAUGGCGCUUGUAAUGUGGCAAAACAGAUCGUCACCAGGGGUUCGCACGUGGUCCCCCACCGUACUACUGAUCUGGCCCAAUGUUGCUUAUGUGCCCAGUGCUGAUGGGAUGGGCAGUGUUCAACAUGGUAUGAACGAUCCAUGUCCAUACCGAAAUCUGGACUGUACCUACACCUGUAUUGCAGCCAUAUAUUAUACUUUACACAUAUACCAAAAACCCAACCCAAAACAUUAUCCCCAAUCACAAAGCAGCAGCUGAUAACAUCCAUUAGUCAGGCAAUAACCUACAAAAACAUAAACUAUCUAUG